GAUGAACGCUGGCGGCGUGCUUAACACAUGCAAGUCGAACGAAGCAUUUACGACAGAUUUCUUCGGAUUGAAGUUGUUUAUGACUGAGUGGCGGACGGGUGAGUAACGCGUGGGUAACCUGCCUCAUACAGGGGGAUAGCAGCUGGAAACGGCUGGUAAUACCGCAUAAGCGCACAGCAUCACAUGAUGCAGUGUGAAAAACUCCGGUGGUAUGAGAUGGACCCGCGUCUGAUUAGCUGGUUGGUGAGGUAACGGCCCACCAAGGCGACGAUCAGUAGCCGACCUGAGAGGGUGACCGGCACAUUGGGACUGAGACACGGCCCAGACUCCUACGGGAGGCAGCAGUGGGAUAUUGCACAAUGGAGGAAACUCUGAUGCAGCGACGCCGCGUGAGUGAAGAAGUAGUUACGCUAUGUAAAGCUCUAUCAGCA
rnacentral:rRNA from 1 species